GGCUCCAACAGAAUUAGCUAAGUGGUAGAGCGUUUGUACCGGAAUCGGAAGCCAUGGGUUUGAGUCCCAUUGGAGCCU